AAAUAUUACUUUUCUUCCCAUUAUCUUGGUAUUCUUCCAUUCAUUAAGAAAAAGAACGAAGGAAAAUCUGAGAACUCGAUAUUGGAAUUCUUGCAUGUUGAACUUGUUGGAAUUCCGGUGAUGAUGUCCGAUCAAAACCCUAAACCCUAAAUCCUGAUCUAUCUAUUGGUAUUUUACUGUUCUUCCCAUUAUCUAGAUAUUAAGGUAAAAUUCAAGAACUCGAUUUUGCAUCUUGAAAUUCAAGAACUCGAUAAUUACAUAUUGAAUUUUUUAACAAUUCAAAGAAAAUCCGAGAACUGGAUAUUGGAAUUCUUGGAUGCUGAAUUUGUUGGAAUUCCGGUGAUGAAUCUAUUGGUAUUCUUGAGAAGACUCGAUUUUGCAUGUUGGAAUUCAAGGACACUUGUGGUGUUUUUCAAGAAAAUUAAAGAAGUUAUUUAAAAAAAAGUUAAGUUAUGUUGUCAUCCUGGUAGUGUAUAUUAAGUAUGUUAAAGAAUUUGUUUCCCCUAUUUUCCCCGACUUGACUGAAAUUGUUAAGUCCAGGCAUGCAAAUUGCUGUUAACGAGUAUGCUAAAUCCAUUCUUGGGUUGCAAGAUGUGAACAGUACAGAGUUUGAUCCCAACACUCACAAUCCUUGUGUAAUUUUUAUGCCGAAAGUUAAGUUCUGAUACUUACCUUUCAUCAUGAAUUUCCUUGUUUGUCAAUUAAAACAUGUCACUUGUUCAUUUUUGUUUCAUGUUAGAUGUUCAAUGAACUUGCCAGAAAUGAUGUGCAUCAUUUAACUCCCUUUGUUUUCACCAUUGACACUGACUCUGUUAAUCUAUUUUGAUGUGUUUUUCAAGAAUCUCUUGUGGUGACAAGUUGGUUCUUAAUGGUACUUGUAGGAUUGGCGCCCCAUCCUUCUCUUUGAUGAGGACACUGUUGCGAAUCAUUUUGUAAAGGGUUGGUUAGUAGAAGAGAGAGUUACUUAUGCAUCAGAUAGUGCAAAGAAUUUCAGCGUUAUGCUAUCGUGUAAUUUAUUACUUUCUUUCUCUUAAGCUACUUUUGAAAAACCUAGAUAGAAUAAUGUUUAACCUACAGAGGAUGAUUUCCUGUUAAACAUGAAGUUGUUAUCACGUAUAAUUAUUGAAACAUGGAAUAUAAUCUCUUGGUCCCUGCCAUAAAUCAUUUGGAAAAAGAGGACUGCAAAGUUUGAUCUCAAUUUUAUGUUAUUUCUAGGGAGGAUAUGGCCAUAAUAGGGAGACUUGGUCCAUGGGAUGUUUAUGGUUCAGAUCCUUCUGAAUUCUAUUAUGAUGGAGAUGAUUUGACACAUGCAUUCUCAUGGUGAAGAGAUUCUUAAGAAUUAUUUGAUACCAAAAGCUAUGCUCUCCUCUAGGGUGGAUGGGGACUCACAUAUAUAGAUUGAUGCUGGAAAUCGAGGUAAAACAGAUGAGCUUAUAUGGAAGAAGAAGAAGAGUAGAAGAAGUCAUUCAGCUCUUCCAUUUUACCAAGGCAAAAAGAAGUUCUUUGCCACGAGUGAGUCUUUAAGAAAGGCAGCAGAAAAUAAAAAUAUUAAGAUUGUUCAUGAUGUGCCACUCAUGCCGGAAACUAGAGCUGUAAGGAGACUGCAUCAUUCUGUAGAAGCUAUCUACUUGGAGCUUCACGGCAGUCAUCCCAUCAAUGUGAUCAAUCUUCCACCCUAAGUUAAGGUCAAGUGUGAAACUGAAACUUGUUGAUAUUUGGAAUAGCAAAUUACAAGCUCUAGGGGAGUGCACAAGCGCGCACACGAUGGGGAGUCAAAAGAAAGUAAACUAUUUCUGCCAUUUGUUCCUGACGUGAAUAAGAACUGAAUUUUUCUACUGCAUGUUUCAGUUAAUUAGCUUCAUUUCUUUCACCCACUUUUCAAGAUUAUCUUAGAAUAUUCUUAUUAAUCCUGAAAGCAUUAGAGAUUAUAAUGUCUUUUUCUAAGUCUCCUAGGCCACAAAGUCUCUUUCAAACUCUAUCUUGCUUAUGUUCUGAUCUUGUAAUAGAAUUGUCAUGCCUGACAUUUUUUAUUCAAAUUUUCAGAAUUUGCACCAACAAAAACUGAAAGUUUCUUACUGAAGGAAAGGAGUGAUAUAGGGUGCUUUGUCUUUUGCUUCAUCACUUUGUGGCUGUCUGGAGGAGUUUAUCCUUGUGUAGAUACUUGGGCCCAUGUUGAAAUAAAUCAUGCUGCAGAUGAGUGUAUUCGUUUGGAAGAACUGCUGGGAAGGUCAUUCCUGAAAUUGGUUACCAAUUAUUACACAACUAUGAGGACCAAAUUCAAAACUGAGGUUGGAUCUGCAACAUUCAUUCUCAAUCUUCAAGAUCAUUUACCAGGUAAGUUAUAUCUUUGUUUAGAUUUUCAUCACACAAUCAGUCUAUGGAACUUGAUAAAAAUGCCAUUUACCAAAAUUUCCAUUGCACUAAAUUUUGCAAUCUUCAUUAAAGUUAAACCUAACUCCUGAGCAUGAAGUUAUAUGAUUUGGAUAAAGCAGAAACUUAAAUCUGAUUCACAAGCAGCCAACAUCUGUCAUACUUCUUGCGGUAACAUUCUCUAAUACUUGUUUCUGUCAUAUAAUACAUUCAAAAAGUAAAGUACAUGCAAACCAUAUUUGCAAAUUAGUCUGAGAAGGGAAAGGUAUUCUUGUACUGAUUGUAGUUGUUAAUACAGAAGUAGUUACUCACCUAGAUUCUCAUACCUUUUACUACAGUUUAUAGAUUAUUCUCUUCAACAUUUAUAUUCCUCCUUGUGGUGGAUGUAUGCAUGUCUAAAUGUGGAAAACAAAGCAUGACAAGCACUUCUUCUGAAUAGCACAGUUUAUAUCAGUUCUGUGCUCCAUCUUGUUGAAAGCAAGAAAGAUUUUGAAGGUUUAAGGCUUUCAUGUGUCAUUUGUGCGCAUUGUCUCUUCAAGGUCCAUUUUAUGUUUUUGUCAACUGUAAAUCCAUAGCCACCUUCUGGGAAGGGUUCUAUUUCUUUUAAGCCUCCCACUGGACAAGAGAACUAGUUACAUUAAAAAAUGUUGAAUCAACCUAUAACUUCUAUGAGCUUUCUUGCUAUUCCAUUUUAUGUUUAAUUGUAGCAAGUGAAUUAUGAAUUGUAACUUAAAAGUAAAUUGUGAAUUGUAACUUGUAAGGGAAGAGUUUUUUAAUUCUAAUACCAUCAGUAACUAGACAAUGCUAGAGGUUCUUUCUUUUUGAAUUAUAAGGCCUUGAAGCUUGAAUAGCUUCCAACAUAAUUUGGAAAACUAUUCAUGACAUCAUUCAUGUUUUAGGAAAUACUCCACUAGCUAACUAGAUUCUUUUGCACUUGUUUCAUAAGAAAAUGAUUAUUUUCUAGAUAAUAAUAUAGGUUUCGUGUAUUUUGGGCAAUAAUCUAAGUGUUGUGGGUAUGUUAGAAUUUAUUCAACAGGUUAGUCCAUCGACUCUAACUAGCUCUCUUAUUUUACUCCUCCAUUUAAUUCUAAUCUUGCUUAAGUUCUUGCUUAAAUGUCGUGUCAUGGAUUAUCAAUAUAGUUAAAUUCUCUCUUCCAUGUCCUUCCCUCCCACGAAAAAUAGGAAAAGGGAACAUAUUGUACAGUUUCCAUGUAAAGGCAGAGUAACAAACUGUUUAUAGAAUUUGAGCUAAAUGAAAGAAAAAAGGUAACGCAACAGAAACAAAAUCCUAAAUAACCUUGGGAAACAUGUUGUCCUCUAUAAAUACAGAAAGCCUCUUUAGAGCUUUGCAUUACAAACCAAAUUACUCUGCUACUAUGUAGACCAUCUUCCCUUUUCCAUUACUCAUUCCUGCUUCUCAAUGGCUUCCCUUAGCAGUUGUUAUUGUUUGUUGCUUUUCUUAUUACUUUGUACCCGUCUUCUUUCUUUCUCUCUUGCUAAAGAAACUGUACACAUUGGUCCCUUUAAUUCCAUGUACAAUUUUGGAGAUAAUGGUCAUUCCUCUUCAUCAGCCCCUAUCAUAUUGCUGCAACCAUCAAUUUGACUUCUCCCAACCAUUCACCCAAUGAGGCAUCUUGUUUUAAUUUUGCGCAACCCUUGGAGCAACCUACUGUCAUGGAACCCUAUUUCUUCCUCAAGAAUGGCAUCCCACCGCCUCCCCAGUCUCAUGAUCUAACACAGAUUAUCACAUUCAUGAAGUUCUUCUAUAAAUACUGCUCCUUUCUAUAGGACUGCGCCAAAAACAAAUUUCUUCAGAAAGCCCUCAUCUUUAUGGAUCAGCCCAGCAUCAACGACUAAAAGCAUGCCUUCUUACAUGGAAAAUCUAUUUUUGAGGCAUCCCAUCUCGUGCCUGAGACCGUUAAGAAUUCAAUUGGAAAAACUCAUCAAAGAAGCUGGAGCUGAAACUGCUAAUGUUUCUGGAAUUCUACCCAUCGGCUGUUUUCUGGGUUAUCGGACUGAGGGCGAUUCAAUUGGAAAAUGCAGAUGCCACGAGGGAUUGAAUAUGUACUCGAAGCUUCACAAUGAGCACCUUUGGCAAGCAAUUCGGGAGCUGCGUUUGAAAUACCCUGAUGUUCACAUCAUAUACGCAGAUUACUAAAAAGCGUUCACAGCUGUUCUUAAAAACCACACCUUCUAGACAAAGAAUUUGAUGAAGGCAUGUUGUGGUAGGGGCGAUGGUCCGUUGAACUUUGGAUUUCGACCGACCCCUGAUACUUUGGAGAACCUGAUUGACACUCUUGAGCCAAAAAGUAUUCAUAUUUCCAGAAUUCAAGUUUGGAGAAGAAACAACAGCACAGCAGUAGAAAGGCAUCAUUCCAGGUUUCGUGAAGGAGUUAAAGAAAUGUCUUGUAUUGUUAGGCAUUUACUCUUCGUCUAAGACGGCUUUAUUCCCACAAGAUAUCUUAAUCCAAAGGGUGGAAUGAUACGUUGGGAUGGAGAAGAAAUUGGUCAUUUUUACGGUAAUUAAAUUGACCAAAUAGUCAUUUGAUGCAUUUGCCAAGUAAUGGCAAGUUGUAUAGGCAAACGUCAUUUCCCAAGUGCUUUCCAAAUAUAUUUGGGGCCAAACGGGUCCUUAGAAUUACAAUUUUUUUGUGGUCUUGAA